rnacentral:tRNA from 1 species
UGUAAUUCAGUGGUAGAACAUUUGCCUAGCAUGCAUAAGACCCUGGGUUCAAUCCCCAGCA